UACGAAGGGGGCUAGCGUUGUUCGGAUUUACUGGGCGUAAAGCGCACGUAGGCGGAUUGUUAAGUGAGGGUGAAUCCAAGGCUCAACCCUGGAACUGCCUUUCAUACUGGCAAUCUUGAGUCCGGAAGAGGUGAGUGGAAUCUCCUAGUGGUAGUGGUGGAAUGCGUAGAUAUCGGGAGGAACACCAGUGGCGAAGGCGGCUCUCGUGGA
rnacentral:rRNA from 1 species